UAUUCAAUCAGCUAAGGAAUGAAAUCUCAUUCAUAAAGAAACCCUUAAGUUUUUGAGGGUUUUAUUCAUCAGCGGGAAUUCUCAAAAGCAGAGGGCGGGAAUUAGCAAAAUAUUAGGGCUCACGAAUCACGAACUCGCGGAAGAAUCGGGAUGUCAUUCCAUUUAAACCCUCAAUUGAAAUUUCAUAAUGAAUAUCGACGAUUCUGUUGCCGGCGAGUUCUUAACUGCUGCGAUUGUGAAGCAUCACCCACAAAUCACCUUCUAUAUUAUACUAUUGUAUUACCUGGAUUCGCAAAACCAGCACAAUGUAGAUGUUUGUGUUAGUCUUGAUGGUCCUUACAAGAACAAGGUCUGAAGAUGAUUCUCAAGUACUUACAACUCAAUCAACUGCCGAGGGAAGUGCAUCUACUAGAAUAUCGCACCCGAACAGUAGACACAAGCUUAAUUCGACCAACACCAGAGCUACCGAACAACCAGUUGAUACAGAACAACAAUUUGUUGAUCCCCCAAAGAGGCGCGGUCCGAAUUUAAAUCUUAGCGUCAAUAGGACUCUACAGGAUUUUCCUGAGGGUUCUAAAAUCCCUUUGAGAAUGGAUAAGCAUACAAUAUGCUUUGUUGGGACCUUAGCAACAGACUUUGCGACCGAGUGGAAUCAUUAUGCGCAGUUUUUGUCUGAUGAACUAUCACACAUGGGAAUCGGUACCGGAAGAUACGAAAACCUUGAUGUAUGAGAAAUUAGAAGGAAAAUUCGAGUUGUUGCGAACAAAUACCAUUUUUAUGGAGUAUGUGCAUGCUCGACUACAUGCCCAGUGGAAACACACCCGAGGUAAAUGGAGUGAACAUUGGAAGAAGAAUGGAAGGAAAACCAAUCCACCGCUAGCAAGAUCUAAAAGGAAAUCUGAUUGCCUGAUUCAAGAAUGGAAUCAUUUGUGCGACUAUUGGGAGUUAGAAAAAACUAAGAAAUAUAGUGAUAAGAUGGAAGCUAAUAGAGCAAAACAAGUUAAUAUAAGCAGAGGGGGGCUCUCGGUCGAUAGCCAAUCAUACAUUUCAAAAGAUAAAUUCCGAGACUCAGAUGCCGCCUAGCCCGUUAGAAGUUUAUCACAAGCUGCAUUUCAAUGCCACGAAACAAGGAUGGCUAAAUGAAAAUUCACGUAUUGAAUAUGAAAACAUCAUUGAACAUAAGUAGGCAGCCUUGGAUGAAUUAAAUUCUAGAAGAAUAACAAUUACCACUACGAUGGAGCAUCAACUUGAGAAAGAAGCCAUAAAAAGUGUUUGUGGUAGGAAGAAAACAAUACAAUCAGCAUGGGAGGUUGGUGUUGCGCCCGUGUUGAGGAAAAAAAGAUAGUUGGAUGAAAUCGGUAGCUGAAUCAUCUCAACGAGACUCAAGUGAGAACGAAAGUCUGAGAAAUAAGGUUAUUGCACUCGAGGCGAAACAGAAACGAGAUAAGGAGAAAUAUGAAAGAAUGUUUGAGUUCAUUGGCACAAAGUUUCCAGACUUUGAAAGCACAAUACCCAUAGAUGCGAGUGAUGAAGUUGUUAGUGAUAAUACAAUUUAGGUAGUUAGUUAUGAUGUUUAUUAUCUUUUUUUAUCUAGUACUCUUUUAAACUUUAGAACCGAUUAUUUGGUGUUAUUUUGCUUAGUUAUUGUUAUGAUAUUAGUGCUUGAAUGUAUUAGGAUUUUGGGAGGCAAAAGGCAAAUUUAUGAAUUAUAUUAUUGUAA